GGGCGAAUGGUUUAGUGGUAUAAUACUCCCUUAGCAUGUGUGCAACGAUUGGGAGUGGUCCAGGGUUCGAUUCCCUGUUCGUCCA